UCCUCUCAGCUCCCCCAUGUUUCAGGGUGUAAUAGUGGUGCUUCCCAACACGCUGCUCUCCAAUAUAGUAAAUUAUUCUCUCCUGUUCCUCUACUAAUCCAGUCUCCCAGUUUUUAAUCUUUCAGGUUUUAGCUGCUCAUCGCUGGAUCCUUUCAUCGUUGUCCAUGUGGUUCCUGCCUUCUGGAUCCCUUGUUUUUCACACUGCUUGUUGGAUCUCCUCAUCCUGUAAACCUCCACCUUCAACACCACCAGUCAGACGGAGGAAGAUAAGAGAACCCUGUUGACAAAAAAAUUGACCAACAAUGAAAGCAGAAACCUGCUCCACCUGUAAACCUCCACCUUCAACACCACCAGUCAGAUGGAGGAAGAUAAGAGAACCCUGUUGACAAAAAAAUUGACCAACAAUUAAAGAAGAAGACCUGCUCCACCUGCUGAUCUACUGGCUGUAACAGAUUGUGGAAAAGCAUCACCAGCAGCACUGGACCAAUCAGGAGAGAGAAGACACAGAGGACUGAAGGGACACAGAAAAUCCUGCUGGAAAUCCUGAGAUGAAGUUUCCUGAUGUAACCGGGGGAACCUGAGGACACAGAAUAAAGAAGGACCAUGUGAAACUCAUGAAGAGGAUGGUCAGAGUCGUCCAUAGCUUUCUUGACUCUUAUGAAGAAUCCUUCUUUGCUUCAUCUCCAGAGGUUCCACAGUCAUCUCCAGAACAGAACCAGAACCAGAACCAAUCCAGCCUUCUUUAUCAGAUUGUUGAGCCUUUUGAGGUUCCUGGCUCUGAUGCUGCUGCACCAACAGAUGAUAGCAGAAGAGAUGACACUCUCAGCCGCAGACUUCAAGAUCUACAGCAAGCGGCUGCAGAUCUACAGUCGUUAUGACUUUUCUUCGGUACCGGAACCAGGCAGGAUGUCUUCCACAACAACGGAACCUCCUCUUGGGUUAGGCAAAGGUUGAAGAGAUGCUGCAGAAUCCCACAGAGGGACUCUGGGACUGAAACCAUCUGGACCUGCAGCCUCGUUCCUGUUCAGUCUCUCCGGCUGCUUCUUCACCUGACUUCUAGAUACAGAAACGUUGGAGGUGGAGGCAAAGGGAGCAGCAGCGUCUCCUGAUGUGGUUGAAGACAAACUUGUGGAAGCAGAAGAGUCCAUGACUGAGGUGGAAGAUGGAACAUCUGAGGUUUGACAGGAAAGCUGUGGGUCAGAGGAGGAUGAGAUUCUGUUUGGCUGCAGACAGGAGAGGAUGAUGAUGAUGAGCUUGUUCCUGGACUCAACCUGUUGAAGAAUGUGUUCAGCUCAUUUGCUCUGUGCAGAAACUGAUAUUGUUCAAAACAAAAGUCAUGGUAGCAUGUUUUUAUGUAAUAAUGAGUAUGUAAUGUUUGGAAUGAAGAAGAUAUGCUGCAUAAUCUGAUGGAAUUACAAAAGAUCAUUGUGGCUCCCGCUCAGUGCAAAAACAUAUUUUGUUGGUUUCUGAAGAGUAAAAAUUGAACAAAUGUGUACACUUAAAGAUUAAGUUUAUAUUUCACAGUCAUCACAAUGCUAAAGAAAAGUCUCACAACAGUGUGAAAAUCAUGGUGUUUAUUUACAAGACAGGAAGCAGGAGGAAGAUAUUAACGAAUGUAAUAUUUAUUUUGCAGUGUCAGGUUAUUUCUAUGUAUUAUGAUAUAAUAAAACAUGUAUUUUUGGCCUUAUUGCAUUCUGUUUUAUAUUUGUGUGAAAUUUUAACUUGAUUUUGAAAGCAUGUAAAGUAAUCAAUCUGAUCAUAGAGUGAAAUAACAUUAAGUUGUAAGCAAAUUCAAUAAAAGCUUUUUUUGCCGCCA